rnacentral:lncRNA from 1 species
GAGACAGAUUUGGGUGCCGUCCUCGCUCGUGGAAGGUCUGCUCGCUUCUCGAUCCUCUUCUCCUUGACGUUGAGUGCUUGCUCGCAACUAUUGGCGACGCCGCUGCGAAGGGCUUCUCCGUCGUCGUCUCUGCUCGAGUUGUUGGUGCCCAUCUCUCUCUUUGAGUCAUCAAUAACUCUUGGUUUAUAUCAUUUAUGAUUAUGAAUAUUUAGUUUAUUUGUCAUUUAAAUGCAUUUUGAUUUUUAUUAGUUAUAAAGAUUGAUGGUUGAAGUUGUAUGUGAACUUAAUUAUAAAGUAUAGACAAUUUAUUAUGUGAAAUUAUAAAAUUUUAAAUUUUAUUAGUGUAAAAAUAAUUGAAUUUAAAUAUUUAAAAUUACAUAUUAAAUUUUUAAUAAAUUUAUUUUAUAUUUAAUUACCCCGGUUGAACCUUUAAACCAUUGAACCAGUCACUUCACCGGUUUAGUGACCGGUUCGGUUCUCGCAACCUUGUUAUUUACAUAAUCUAAUUUGUAAAACGAAGAUGAAUAUGAACCAUUCAAGAGGGAAAGGGAAUAUUUUACAGGUCCAAAAUCCAAAUGGCUAUCAAAGGAAUAGCAUAACAGUGUUGGUCUGUCAUGAUUUCUACAUAAGCCUUGAUUUGUUCAGAUGCAUUAGUUAGAGUUCUUCAUUAUCGUCUUUUGCACAUUUGUUGUCAAUUCAGAUGUUAAUAGUUUGACAUUCAACUGGAUUUAAGAUAGCUUUUGUUAUUAUUUUUGUUUAUUUUUUUAAAUUUUUUUUUUAUUGUGAAUUGAUAUUAAAUUGGCCCUUCUCUGUCUUUCACUUUAUAGAUGCUUACCUGGGUAUCCCUUCAAGUGUCCCAAGCUGCAGAUUUCUCCUGAGAAUGGAUUAUCAGAGAGUGACACCGAUAAACUAUUGUCACUCCUCCGUGAUCAGAUAUGAUCCCAGUUUAUACCUCAAUAUAUUUCUCUACUCGUACGCUUCAAUGUUGUUGUUGAAUUGCUGACCUUUGGUGCAUUUAUUGUGCUGUAGGUAGUGUUGUAGUAAUAUUUAUGGCUAGGAUGAAAUAUUGGUUAGCCAUAGAAUGCUUUGAUAUUUUGGGUUCCUUGGUGUCAAUGCUGAGAGUAAUUAAGAGCAAGCAUCUGUUAUGAUGCCCAAGUUGGUAGAAGGGGAGCCACAAGGUGGAAGAAGUAUCAAGUAUGUAUUAUUGAAUUAAAAGAUUUUUAAAAGCGUAAUUUGUACAUUAUCUAAAGAAAGUUGAGGUAGAAUUCAAUAUUGAGGUAGUUGAGACCUGAAUGGCAAGAACAAGUUACUAAAACAAGCAUAUUUCUAUGUAAUCUUAUUUUGAAUUCUUCAUGUGUUCAUCCUUCUUUUAAUUCUUUGAAUGUAACUACUGAUCUUCCUUGGUACCCAGGAGUUUACUAGACAUGUUUCAGUUCAAUUAUUUCCUCACUUCAUUUCAUUUAAUCAUGUAUUCAUGUUCUUUUCCUCUUCCGAAAUUAGUUACUCUUUUUAUUUGCAUAGCUGUUAUGACAUGGUUUGUUUAUGGAAGCUUCAGUUUUUACUAAAAUUGAAGCCUUUCUCCUAAUUUAUGUAUUUUUAUUUCUUGUUUAUUCUGAAUUUUGGUUUCAAUUUGAUCUAGUUAGAGGCAGGGAAGCAGCUAUUAACUCCUGCUGCCAAUUUGCAUAAAUCCAUUCUUCACCUUCCUUGAGUUGCCACUUGCCGGGAUAUUACAAUUUUGUGAAGAAUAAAUCUGUAUUAACAUAGCUAUUAGUUAGCAAGCUGCAGCCGUUAAGUUGAGCACUGUGAUGGAUGCCUCGAGAAGAAAAUAUAAAAAAGACCCAACAGCUUUAGAGUGCAUGGUGCAAUCAAUGGAAACUGUGUUUUGGAGCUGAAAUCUCUAGUUCCCUAUCCCUAGGAUUUGAGAUGGUGUUGUAUUUAAGUAUGUAUUUUUGUAGAGAAAAGAAGAAAAAAAAAAGAAAAAAGAAUGCUUGUGUAAUAACCUUAUCUGUUUUGGAAAAUUAUAUCAAAGUGUCCAUCUAUUUACAUUUAUAUUUAAUUAAAUUAAUAGUUGAUUAAUUGUGUAGCAUAGUCCAUAGCUACCUCGUUCAAGUUUUGAACAAUAACAAUAACAAUCAUGCUAUAUUGCUAUGCAAUAAUUAACACCAGACUUCAAAUAUGAUAAUAUUUUGGUUAUUAUUAUUUUGUUUGGAAUUUGGACACUCUUGUCUUGUACGACAUAUAAUACAACUCAACCUGUGUCAAUCAAGGAUAGAAAGGAGAAGAAGGAAAAAUUUUCUAAUUUGGAAUAACCAAACACAGCUUGAAUUAUAAUUACAGUGUAGCAAAAAGUUUGGGAUCCCAUUCUUUGUGAAAUCCGUGUAUUUAUCUAUAUCGUUACUUUAAAAGAUGUUUACAUUCUUUGCUCUUCUCUUCGGCAUCCCUGUUAUAAUGAUAGAACAAUAUUCAUCAUCAUAGAAUUAGGUAGCAUCGUAAAUGAAUUAUCAGACAAACCAAUUACCUGCAACGAAAAGAAGAAUUUGCAUUGUGGUCUCUUAGCUUGGAGUGAGAAUAUAAACAUGAUGUUUAGUGAGCAAUAUUAUAGUUUUUAAUUAAAAAAAUUAUCAGCUUGAAAAUUUUUCCUUCCACCUUUCGUCAAUAAAUCCUCAACUCCUCCGUGAUCAGAUAUGAUCCCAGUUUAUACCUCAAUAUAUUUCUCUACUCGUACGCUUCAAUGUUGUUGUUGAAUUGCUGACCUUUGGUGCAUUUAUUGUGCUGUAGGUAGUGUUGUAGUAAUAUUUAUGGCUAGGAUGAAAUAUUGGUUAGCCAUAGAAUGCUUUGAUAUUUUGGGUUCCUUGGUGUCAAUGCUGAGAGUAAUUAAGAGCAAGCAUCUGUUAUGAUGCCCAAGUUGGUAGAAGGGGAGCCACAAGGUGGAAGAAGUAUCAAGUAUGUAUUAUUGAAUUAAAAGAUUUUUAAAAGCGUAAUUUGUACAUUAUCUAAAGAAAGUUGAGGUAGAAUUCAAUAUUGAGGUAGUUGAGACCUGAAUGGCAAGAACAAGUUACUAAACCAAGCAUAUUUCUAUGUAAUCUUAUUUUGAAUUCUUCAUGUGUUCAUCCUUCUUUUAAUUCUUUGAAUGUAACUACUGAUCUUCCUUGGUACCCAGGAGUUUACUAGACAUGUUUCAGUUCAAUUAUUUCCUCACUUCAUUUCAUUUAAUCAUAUAUUCAUGUUCUUUUCCUCUUCCGAAAUUAGUUACUCUUUUUAUUUGCAUAGCUGUUAUGACAUGGUUUGUUUAUUGAAGCUUCAGUUUUUACUAAAAUUGAAGCCUUUCUCCUAAUUUAUGUAUUUUUAUUUCUUGUUUAUUCUGAAUUUUGGUUACAAUUUGAUCUAGUUAG